GACGAACGCUGGCGGCGUGCCUAUUACAUGCAAGUCGAACGCAGUGGGGACGGGUGAGUAACACGUGGGUAACCUCCCAUCAGAGGGGAUAACACUUGGAAACAGGUGCUAAACCGAUACUGAUGGAUGGACCCGCGGUGCAUUAGCUAGUUGGUGAGGUAACGGCUCACCAAGGCCACGAUGCAUAGCCUACCUGUGAGUGUGAUGACCCACACUGGGACUGAGACACAGCCCAGUCUCCUACCUAGAUCAUCAGUAAUAGAUCUUCGGCAAUGGACGAAAGUCUGACCGAGCAACGCCGCGUGAGUGAAGAAGGUUUUCGGAUCGUAAAACUCUGUUGUUAGAGAAGCGGUAUCUAACCAGAAAGCCACGGCUAACUACGUGCCAGCAGCCGCGGUAAUAC
rnacentral:rRNA from 1 species